GAACGCUGGCGGCGUGCCUAAUACAUGCAAGUCGAGCGAAUGACGAGGAGCUUGCUCCUCUGAUUAGCGGCGGACGGGUGAGUAACACGUGGGCAACCUGCCCUGUAGACUGGGAUAACUUCGGGAAACCGGAGCUAAUACCGGAUAAUCCAUUUCACCUCAUGGUGAAAUGUUGAAAGGCGCUUCGGCGUCACUACAGGAUGGGCCCGCGGUGCAUUAGCUAGUUGGUGGGUAACGGCCUACCAAGGCAACGAUGCAUAGCCGACCUGAGAGGGUGAUCGGCCACAUUGGGACUGAGACACGGCCCAAACUCCUACGGGAGGCAGCAGUAGGGAAUCUUCCACAAUGGACGAAAGUCUGAUGGAGCAACGCCGCCGUGAGUGAUGAAGGUUUUCGGAUCGUAAAACUCUGUUGUAAGGGAAGAACAAGUACGUUAGGAAAUGAACGUACCUUGACGGUACCUUAUUAGAAAGCCACGGCUAACUACGUGCCAGCAGCAGC
rnacentral:rRNA from 1 species